rnacentral:rRNA from 1 species
AGCGAACGCUGGCGGUAGGCCUAACACAUGCAAGUCGAACGGCAGCACAGUAAGAGCUUGCUCUUACGGGUGGCGAGUGGCGGACGGGUGAGGAAUACAUCGGAAUCUACUUUUUCGUGGGGGAUAACGUAGGGAAACUUACGCUAAUACCGCAUACGACCUACGGGUGAAAGCAGGGGAUCUUCGGACCUUGCGCGAUUGAAUGAGCCGAUGUCGGAUUAGAUAGUUGGGGGGGUGAAGGCCCACCAAGGCGACGAUCCGUAGCUGGUCUGAGAGGAUGGUCAGCCACACUGGAACUGAGACACGGUCCAGAGUCCUAAGGGAGGCAGCAGUGGGGAAUAGUGGACAAUGGGCGCAAGCCUGACCCAGCGAUACGGCGUGGGAGAAGAAGGCGUUCGGGUUGUAAAGCCCUUUUGUUGGGAAAGAAAAGCAGCAGGUUAAGACCCCGCUGUUCUGACGGUACCCAAAGAAUAAGCACCGGCUAACUUCGUG